rnacentral:rRNA from 1 species
GACGAACCGUGCAAACGUUGUUCGGAUUCACUGGGCUUAAAGGGCGCGUAGGCGGGUGGUCAAGUCAGGGGUGAAAUCUUUCAGCUCAACUGGAAAACAGCUUCUGAUACUGGCCAUCUUGAGGGAGGUAGGGGCAUGUGGAACUUCCGGUGGAGCGGUGAAAUGCGUAGAUAUCGAGAGGAACACCUGCGGCGAAGGCGGGUAGCUGGGCCGACACUGACGCUGAUGCGCGAAAGCCAGGGGAGCGAACGGG